AAAAACUUUUAUAAAUCCGUCUCCCUAAAAAAAAAAAACAUCUAUUUAACAAACAAUAAUAUUACAUGCCAACAGUAUAUCCAGUUCAUGGUAGCAUAUGAUAAAUUGAAUAGAUACACACACACACACGAGAAAACAAAUUACAACAAAUAAAAUAAAUGAGAAAAAUAAAAAUGUGUAAAAAAAAGGGGGAAAAAAACGAAACAGUCAACUCUUAUUUACUUUUCUAGACAGUCACUGGAACCAACACACACGUCCGACU
rnacentral:lncRNA from 1 species